rnacentral:rRNA from 1 species
AUUGAACGCUGGCGGCAUGCCUUACACAUGCAAGUCGAACGGCAGCAUGAUCUUGCUUUCUAGUUUGAUGGCGAGUGUCGAACGGGUGUGUAAUACAUCGGAACGUGCCCUGUUUUGUGGGAUAACUCGUCGAUAGAUUUGCUAUUACCGCAUACGUCCUGAGGGUUAAAGUGGGUGUCCGCAUUGCCUCUUUCUCUAUUAUCUGCCGAUGUCUGAUUAGCUAGUUUGUGAGGUAAAGGCUCACCAAGGCGACGAUCAGUAGCUGGUCUGAGAGGACGAUCAGCAACACUGGGAGUGAGACACGGACCAGACUCCUACGGGAGGGAGCAGUGGGGAAUAUUGGACAAAGGGCGAAAGCAUGAUACAGCAAGGCCGAGUGUGUGAAGAAGGACUUCGGGUUGUAAAGAAGUUUUGUCGGGAAAGAAAAGGCUCAGGUUAAUAACAGGGGUGGAUGACGGUAACGGAAGAAUAAGGACCGGCUAACUACGUG